GGCAGUGUAGCGUAGCGAUGAGGAGCAGGGCUCGUAACCAAGUGGUUGCUGGUUCAAUUCCCGCCUGUGGCA